CCCAUAAAGUUGUUCUCAGUUCGGAUUGUAGUCUGCAACUCGACUACAUGAAGCUGGAAUCGCUAGUAAUCGUAGAUCAGCAUGCUACGGUGAAUACGUUCCCGGGUCUUGUACACACCGCCCGUCACACCACGAGAGUUUGUAACACCCGAAGCCGGUGGAGUAACCAUUUUGGAGCUAGCCGUCGAAGGUGGGACAAAUGAUUGGGGUGAAGUCGUAACAAGGUAGCCGUAUCGGAAGGUGCGGCUGGAUCACCUCCUUUCUAAGGA
rnacentral:rRNA from 1 species